CUUCCUUAAUUUUUUUAACAGAAUUCGAGCUUGCUGUUUUAUAGUCCUCUUCUAAAACAACACUGGAGGGCUGAGGCUUAAGACUGAAGUGUGUUUUUUCUUGUUCAUCUCUCUGUUGCUCUUCAUAUUUGUGAACUAAGUUAAAAACAAAAUCUUCGAUUUCUUGAUGAUACUGCUUAGAAAUUACAUUGUUCAUAAAUAAAAUCUGCAACAGCGGCCCAUCGACUUUUGAGUUCUCCACUGAAAUUCCACUAGGGCGAGUCAGAAUAUUCAGCUUCCUUUUAAGUUCUUGAUUCUCCGCCCGCAGCCGCCGCACCGUCUCCUCGCAGCCCCGCAGCCGCUCUCGCAGCUCUGAGAAAGCUUCCUCGCGGGCCUCCUCCUCCUCGUCCACGCUGAGGCGAGGCGGCGGCGGCCCGUCCUCCUCCUCGAGCUGCUCGAAGAGCUCGCGGUCCCCGAAGUCCAC
rnacentral:lncRNA from 1 species